UUACAAGUGAGUUAGCCAUUUUUUUAGCGAAGUUAAAGGUUGUUUUAUGUGAAAAUAUACUAAUAUAGGACAAUCUAUAUAUAUGUGAAGGCCCGUUUCCACUUUAAACCUCUAUUUCAAUAAAUAAAUUAUGUAAACAAUUAAAAAAUACAAUAUCUAUAGAUGGCGAAGGAAAAGGCAUGAAACGACCAAUUGGUUUCUUGGCGUUGGUUACUAUCGCUUGUUUCCAAUACCCAAGAAAUUAUGUGGUAUUUACGAAACCUAAAACAUUUCCUAUAUGGGCUGCUGAGAUGAACGAAGAGUCUAGUAAAUAGAUAAUCUAAGAGUUCCAAUGUUCAAGAAAUCCUGGUUGAUUUUUUCUGCCUUUGAAGAAGAAUAUCACAUUUGUAUCAAUGACAUUUUUUUCAAAUAAUUGAAUUUCAACUAUCCUUCAAUUUAUAAUAAAUGACAUCACAGCCCGAACAACCAAAAUUGGCGGUUCUUAUAUCUUUAUAAAUAUUGAUAGGUAUAACAUUAAGGUUUUGAAUAAAAACAUUAUUCUGCUUUACACAAGUAUAAAAUACCAUCACUAUGUACAUGAAAGUUUAAGUACUUAUUAAGCUUUUUAAUUUUUUUGAU